GUGCAGGCAUCACUGAAGACCUGACAUCAGAGGAAAUCGGACGUCCGCUCGUCGCUCCCUGCAACUGAUUGACCAGGUGUUCAUCUUAAACAAACUUUAUCUCCUUAUGAUGAGGCUGACCAAGCACUCCUGUCGGCGGAGGAUGAGCGCCGCUUUUGCCGCUGGAAGAGACUUUUUGUGUCCAAACGGGGGAAAGGCAGGCAGCGAGACAAUAACACCCCGAAGUUAUUGUAAUAAAUUGCCAUGAAAUGAGCUGACAAAAGAGGGAGAAGCUGAAGAGAAUUGACAGUGUUGGCCUUCACCCAAGAGGCAAGAAGAGGAAGCGGAAGACCCCCUAACUCAAGCGGUGAGCUACGAGGAGAACUAGAUGAGGUCCAGACAUGAAGGAGGCACGCAAGGAUACACACAAACCCAGUGCAAUGGCACCUAGAGGCUGUCUGCGGUCUACCACCACCCUUCUGCACAUGCACACAGACACGCACACCCCAACACACCCACGCACUUGCACACAAAGACUGUUACAGUAAGGAACAACAGACCACAGAGUCACGAUGAUAAUCGCAGUUGGAAUUUACGAAAACACAUUCAUUAUCUUUUGCUGCUUUCUUCUUUUACUUCAAAGCCAAAUUCCAAUAAUGAAAUGUAAAACUUACUGCAAAAAAUUUAUAGAAAAUUAUUGAGAAAACAAACUAGAAUAGCAUCGACGUAAAACCAAUUUUCUCCUUUAAAGUCUAGAUGUUUUAAACUAUUCAAAAUACAUCUUAUAUCAUGUGUUAAUGUUUUUGAGUGUACUUGCCUCAGGGAAAUCUAAAUCUGUUUUUAUCCCCCCUUUUUUUCCGUCCAUUGAACCUAUCCGUACAAGUUUAACCUCCCCACCGCACAUCCCACAACACCUCCGUAACCAACCCACAUAACCCACCCAACGCCCCUCCCAGGCUUCCCAGCAUCCUGCCGAGCACACCCUCCAAAAUAAAUCCUUCAAGACGAAAUUACAGUGCGGCUCUGUGGGAAAACCCUCCCUCUUUUGUAUCUCUGCCCCCCCGACGUCCCUUCCCUAGUCUCCUUGUUGGGCUUCACUUGAUUCAGAGUGCAGAUAAUUUUAUUGUAAAUUAGUCUGGACUAUGACGACCCACACUAAUUUCAAUCUGUAGCUACAGUUAACUUUAGAAGGUAUGAAUGUAGCCCUCUAUAGAAUCCACCUUUUUUGUGUCUGAUUUUACGUGAAUGGAAAGAGAGGUUGAUAAUUAGUUUGUUUUAAUUUCUAAAAAGGGGUAAAAAAAUUCUUAAAUUUUUAAUGAACUACUAAUUAGCAUACUAAUUAAGUUUCUUUGAUUGUCCUCUUUAAAUGUAUCUUCCUGUUAUCACUUUGAGCCACUUGGAACGCACUGAAGAGGCUACAACUCCUCAGGCUUUUUGUGGAACAAAAAGAAUGUGCAUGUUUUAGUAUUGCCUUCGGAUUUUUAAACGUUAUCCAGUGGCCACAGUUAUCUAGAAAUAAAUGUGGCUGUCAAGAGUUAAGAUCACCAAAGCUGUCAAAUUUGAGCCAAUUAUACGAAUUUGGAACUUAAACUGAAUUAAAAAAUAGUCAAAUGCGAGCUAUUUAGAUGAGAAAGCAGCCCUGGUCAUUUCCAGCGUUUGGGUUAACUGACGAAGCCAACCUCACAGCGGCUGUGUCACAGUUAAGCUUUAAUGAUACACUCCAUCAGUUCAGCUUUUUUCCUGCGCGAGGCCAGCUUGGUUAACAGUCGGUCGAGGGUGUGUGUGUGUGUGUGUAGGGGUGUGUGUACCAACUAUUAAAGCACUUGAGAAUCAGAGAGGAAAGAACUCACGCUGCUAAUGGAUGUGUCUAUUGAUGUUCCCAUUUGGCGGCACACUGUAAACGAUAGGGCAAUGAUUGUGCUGAAGAUGGAAGGUGGUGGUGGUGGAGGAGUGGAGUGGAGAGGAGAGCGGUUUGGCUUGGCGAUGAUAAUGACAAGGAAGGUUAUUAUUCAGCACCCCAUGGAGUCUCUCUCUUUUUUGCCUGCGUGUGUGUGUGUGUAUUUGAGAGAGAGAGAGAGAGAGGAAGAGGAGUGGUACUCAUCCUCCAUGUCUCUCAGUGAUGUUGCCUUCCCAGUCCAUUGGCUA